CCAGGAUAGCGAAGGGCGCUCGAGGAGCAUUUUUGCUGAUGCAUCUCUAGUGACACCUUGUGGGAUGUUUCACAGAAUCGCCUACAGCUUUUUGGAUGGAAGCACUGGGCCAGCUGAGCCUGAGAGAGGCAGAAAGGGCUCUCAAACACCUGAAUCUAUGAGUCAGUUCAGAGGCCCUCUUCUAUUCAGAGACAUUCCACAAAACUCUGCUGUGAAAGAAUAACAGCUUUACCAAGGGAUUCACUGUGAGGAGCUCAAAAUGAA
rnacentral:lncRNA from 1 species